rnacentral:rRNA from 1 species
AUUGAACGCUGGCGGCAGGCCUAACACAUGCAAGUCGAGCGGAUGAAGGGAGCUUGCUCCUGGAUUCAGCGGCGGACGGGUGAGUAAUGCCUAGGAAUCUGCCUGGUAGUGGGGGAUAACGUCCGGAAACGGGCGCUAAUACCGCAUACGUCCUGAGGGAGAAAGUGGGGGAUCUUCGGACCUCACGCUAUCAGAUGAGCCUAGGUCGGAUUGGCUAGUUGGUGGGGUAAAGGCCUACCAAGGCGACGAUCCGUAACUGGUCUGAGAGGAUGAUCAGUCACACUGGAACUGAGACACGGUCCAGACUCCUACGGGAGGCAGCAGUGGGGAAUAUUGGACAAUGGGCAAAAGCCUGAUCCAGCCAUGCCGCGUGUGUGAAGAAGGUCUUCGGAUUGUAAAGCACUUUAAGUUGGGAGGAAGGGCAGUAAGUUAAUACCUUGCUGUUUUGACGUUACCAACAGAAUAAGCACCGGCUAACUUCGUG